AGUGAACGCUGGCGGCAGGCCUAACACAUGCAAGUCGAACGGCAGCGGGUCAGUAGCAAUACUGAUGCCGGCGAGUGGCGGACGGGUGAGGAAUACAUCGGAAUCUACCUUGUCGUGGGGGAUAACGUAGGGAAACUUACGCUAAUACCGCAUACGACCUACGGGUGAAAGCGGCGGACCGCAAGGCGUCGCGCGAUUGG
rnacentral:rRNA from 1 species